UACAGAGGUGGCAAGCGUUGUUCGGAAUUACUGGGCGUAAAGGGCUCGUAGGUGGCCAACUAAGUCAGACGUGAAAUCCCUCAGCUUAACUGGGGAACUGCGUCUGAUACUGGAUGGCUUGAGUUUGGGAGAGGGAUGCGGAAUUCCAGGUGUAGCGUGAAAUGCGUAGAUAUCGAGAGGAAUACCUGCGGCGAAGGCGGGUAGCUGGGCCGACACUGACGCUGAUGCGCGAAAGCCAGGGAGCGAACGG
rnacentral:rRNA from 1 species